UUAUUUUAAAUACACACUUACCUUCUAAAUUUGUAAUUUUAUUCGUGGGACCACAUUAUUGGACGCAAGCUUACUAAUAACAUUCAGAAGGUAACUUUGGUGUAAGAGUAACCUCUAAUGGUGUAGCUUUAGGAACAAUUAUUCCGGGCCUUUCACUCAUGUCGACGCUUUUAUCCGAGACCGUUCCCCAUUCGAAUCCAUGAAGCAGUCGAGCCAAAGCUAAGUGUUGGAAAUGAAGGGCGAAAGUGAUACCAGGACAAAUCCUUCUACCAGCACCAAAUGGUAUAAGCUCAAAUUUUUGACCCCUCACAUCAAUGUUAGCAUGGUCACUGAGGAAUCUCUCAGGGAGGAAAUCUAAUGGCUUAUGCCAAAUUCCGGGGUCACGGUGUAGCUUCCACAGGUUAAGCAACAGUUGAGUGCCUGCCGGAAUGUGGAAACCGGCUACGGUGCAGUCAUCCAUAGCUUCUCUUGCUACCGAUACUGGCGUCGCUGGGUAUAACCGCAAUGUUUCCUUGAUAAUGGCUUGUAGGUAUACCAAGUUAGCUAUGUCUGAUUCUUCCACUUGUCGUUGCUUCCCGACAUGGAUGUCAAGUUCUUCUUGAGCCUUCUUUAGAACAUGGCGGUUAUUCAAUAGCAAGGAGAUCGCCCAUGAAAGUGUGGACACGUUUGUAUCGAUGCCACCCAAGGCAAGAGUCUACAAUCACCAUUUCCCAAUCAAAAAUAAUGCUAUAGCCUAUAAACUACAUGAUUCUACUUAACAAUAUAUAACAUACCAGGCAAUUAGCUUUAAUGGUAACAUCAGCCUCUUGAAUUGGUACAUUGUUUUCAUCCAUGAUAGACAACAUGGCAUCAAUGAAAUCUUGGUUCCCUUCGAUGCCUUUGUCGAGCCUAUAGAGCAUGGAACGUAACUUUGGUGUAAUAGUAACCUCUAAUGGUGUAGCUUUAGGAACAGUCAUUCCAGGACUUACACUCAUGUCAACGGCUUUAUCUGAGACCGUUCCCCAUUUGAAUCCGUGAAGCAGUCGAGCCAAAGUUAAGUGCUGGAAAUGAAGCGCGAAAGUGAUACCAGGACAAAUCCUUCUACCAGAACCAAAUGGUAUAAGCUCAAAAUUUUGACCCCUUACAGCUAUGUUAGCAUGGUCACUGAGGAAUCUCUCAGGGAGAAAAUCUAAGGGUUUAUGCCAAAUUCUGGGGUCACGCUGAAGCUUCCACAGGUUAACCAACAGUCGAGUACCUGCUGGAAUGUGGAAACCAGCUACUGUGCAGUCCUCCAUAGCUUCUCUGGGUACCAAUAUGGGUGUUGCUGGAUAUAACCGUAAUUUUUCUGUUGGUGCAACAAUAGAAUCAAGCAGACUCAGCAAGUAUCUUGUCGAGCAAGCCUCGAGACUUGCUGAGCAAACAAACAAUUUCGAGCUAAAGAAAGAAGAAAAUAAGCUAAGAAAAUUUGAGAGAAUAUUGAUGAACAAGACUGAUUUCAUUCAUAAAAAAACAAUGGCUUGAAGCCAGUACAUAAAUCAAGCAUAAAGCUUGUCAAAAUCAACAAGUAAUUACCUACCUCCACUAAUUACAUAGAAACUUGAAAUUUUAGCUUGUAAACUUAUACAAAACUGUGUUUACAGCUCAUACAUAAGCUAAUUACAUCAAUCAAAAAGCUAACUUAGUUAGAAAUGAACUAACACUCAUUUCAUCAACUAAAUAUAACAAAAUGAACAAAAUGAGCUUGCAUCAGCAGCCCUUGCAUCUGUUCCAGCUUUGCUUGGUCUUCAUGGCCUGCUUGGUAUCGAGUGUUGGCUUCAUGCUGACCAAGUUCAACACUCCUCCUUGGUUAGCAUGGUGCAAACACAUAAUUUUCUUCUUAAAUACUCGAACCUUGUGACAUUAAGGGCUUUAGUCAAAAUGUCUGCAAGCUGGUCCUCUGAAUUGCAGUGAAUUAGCUUCACUUCCUGAGCUUGCUCCAUUUCUCGAAUAACAUAUAGCUUAAUGCUAAAAUUCUUUGUUCUUCCAUGGAACACUGGAUUUUUGGCAAUUGCAACAGCAGAUUGAUUAUCACAGAAGAUCUCUGUUGCUUCCCUUUGAUCCACAUUCAAAUCAGCCAAGAUUUUCCUAAGCCAAAUGGCUUGGUUGACAGCACUUGCUGCUGCCACAUACUCUGCUUCAGCAGUAGAUUGUGCCACCAGACUUUGCUUUUUUGAGCUCCAGUAGAACAUGGCUGAACCAAGGUUGAAAGCAUACCCUGAGGUGCUUUUCAUGUCAUCUAUCGAUCCAGCCCAGUCACUAUCAGUGUAUCCAACUAGAUUUAGAUUUCCUUUCCUGCUGUACCUUAAGCCAUAGUCCAAAGUGCCUUUGACAUAUCUGAGCACUCUCUUGGCAGCCUGGAAAUGCUUCUCAUUGCAACAAUGCAAGAACCUUGAGAGCAAUCCUAUAGCAUACAUUAUGUCUGGUCUAGUGGCAGUCAAGUAUAGCAAACAACCAACUAGACUCCUGUAGGUAGUUUCACAUACCUUCUCAAAAUCUCCUUGGCUCGAUAGUUUUUCUCCAACAGCAAUAGGUGUUUUAGUUGGUUUGCUGUUUUGCAUGGAGAACUUGGUCAGAAUCUUUGUGGCAAAGCUCUUCUGACUUAAAAAUAUCCCAUUCUGUGCUUGAGUCACCUCCAUUCCAAGAAAAUAGGACAUCUCCCCAAGAUCAGACAUUUCAAACACUUCCUGCAUCUUGGUCUUGAAAUUAACCAGCACUGCUCGAUCUCCUCCUGUCACCAGCAGGUCAUCAACAUAUAGGGACACAAUGAGUUGUGUUUGUGUCCCUUGCUUCUUGACAUACAGUGUUGGCUCACUCUUGCUUCGAUCGAAUCCCAGAUCAGUCAAGUAGCCAUCGAUUCUGCUGUACCAGGCCCUUGGAGCCUGUUUUAAGCCAUAUAGGGCCUUCUUCAGUUUGUAGACCAUAUGCUCUCUCCCAGCUAUUUCAAACCCUUGUGGUUGUUCAACAUAGAUGUCUUCAUCUAAAAAACCAUUCAGAAAGGCUGAUUUCACAUCGAGUUGAUGAAUUUUCCAUUCGAGCUGUGCUGCUAAGGCAAUCAGCAGUCUGAUGGUGUCGAGCCUGGCCACUGGUGCAAAGGUCUCCAGGUAGUCCAGGCCAUACCUCUGACUGAACCCCUUGACAACCAACAUUGCUUUCAGUUUGUUCAAGGUUCCAUCAGCAUUCUGCUUGGCUUUGUACACCCAUUUCACCCCAAUCACCUUCCUUUUGACUGGCCUUUCAACCAAUUCCCAGGUCUGGUUCUUCUCAAUCAUGCUGAUCUCCUCAGCCAUUGCCUGCUUCCACUCUUGCUUAGCUUCAGCCUCUUCAAAGUUACUUGGUUCAGCUAUGGCUAUAUGAGCCCUUUCAUAAAUUUCAGUCAUCGAUCUUGUUCCUCUGACUGGUUCAUCAUCAAUGUCCAUUUCAGGAACAUUUUGUUCUGGCUCAGCUUGGUCUGCUGUAAGUUCCUCAGAAACUUCCUCAGGCUCAUGCAUUUCCCAGUUCCAACAUGACUUUUCAUCAAAUACCACAUCCCUGCUUACUGACACUUUGUUUGUUAAAGGAUCCAAGAUCCUAUAGCCCUUCUUAACAGUGCUGUAGCCCACCAGAAGACCAGGUCGAGCCCUUUCUGACAAUUUGUCCCUUUUAACAGCAGGUACAUGUGUGUAACAGAUACAUCCAAAGACCUUCAGAUGAGCCAGUGAUGGCUUGAAGCCAAACCAGGCCUCGAAUGGAGUCUUCUGAUCCAAAGCCUUGGUUAGAAGUCUAUUUUGAAUGUAUGUUGCAGUGUUAACUGCUUCUGCCCAUAGUGCUUUAGGCAGAUUCUUCUGAAUCAUUAAGCACCUGGCCAUAUCCAUCAAGCUCCUAUUCUUCCUUUCACUUACACCAUUCUGUUGAGGUGUAUAAGUGUUGGUAAGCUGGUGUUUGAUGCCUGCCUUAUCACAGAAGGCUUGGAACUGAGCUGAGGUGUACUCAGUCCCAUUAUCAGACCUUAUGGUCUUCAGCUUGCAGCCUGUUUCAGUCUCAGCAGCAGUUUUAAACUUCCAAAACACAGUGGCCACUUCUGAUUUCUGUUUUAAGAAGUAAAGCCAGCAAUAUCUAGAGAAAUCAUCAAUGAACAGUAUGAAAUACCUGUUUCCACUUAAUGACUCAGUCCUCAUAGGGCCACACACAUCAGUGUGCACCAGUUAGAGUUUUUCAGAGGCUCUCCAGGCUUGAUUCAAGGGAAAUGGCAAUCUGGCCUGCUUUCCUAGCUGACACACCUCACACACAUCAUCAUGGUCCACUGAGUUAAUGAAGUUUUCAGCCAGGUCUUCUCUGACCAUUCGGGCCAUCGAUCUGAAGUUGGCAUGUCCCAGCCUUUGAUGCCACAACUUAGAUUCAUCUGAUGUGGCUGUGUAGGCAAUGUUUGACUUCUUUGUCCAGUCAACCACAAAGCUCUUAUCAGCCAUAGGGAUUGCCAUUAGUUUGGAUCCACUUGGAUCACUGAUUUGGCACUGCUUGUCCUUGAACACCACAGAGUAACCUUUCUCCAGCAAUUGAGCUAUGCUGAGUAGGUUUCUGUCAAUUUCAGGCACCAGGAGCACAUUUGAGAUCAUUUUGGUACCUGUGAGAGUGCAUAUCAGCACAUCACCUUUGCCUUCAGCUUGAAUAAAGUUCUCAUUACCAAUUUUGACUUUGGUUCUACAGCUUCUGUCUAAAGACUUGAAGAUUUCAGCAUCAGGUGUCAUGUGAUUGGUGCAUCCACUGUCUAGGAGCCAACCAGAUGAGAACCUUUCCUGAGUAGCUGAGCAUGACACAGUAAAGACUUGCUCAUCUUGGUCACUGUCCUCCUUAGCUACUCGAGCCUCAGCUUUCAUCUGUUGAGGCAGGUUCUGUCUUGAUUUGGUCUUGCUCUUGCAAACUCUCUCAACAUGACCCUUCUUCUUACAAUGCUGACACACAGCAUCUGGAUUGAACCAGCAUUUUUCUUCUGGAUGACCAGCCCUUCUGCAGUGCUUGCAAGUCUGACCUUCUCUUCUUGCAGCAUCAUUCUUUGGCUUGUCUCUCCAGGCCUUCUUGCCUUUGUAGGCAGUAUUUGUCCUUGCCUGAAAGGCACCUUCUUGAUGCUCUUCCAGUCUGCUUGCUCUCCUCUGCUCUUGAGCAUAUAGAGCAUUGAUCAACUCAGUUAGGGAAAUGGUGGACAGAUCCCUUGAGUCCUCGAGAGAUGAGAUUUUUGCCUCAUACCUCUCAGGCAGAGUUGCUAUAACUUUCUCCACUAUCCUAGCUUCAUUAAAAUGCUCUCUAAGGAGCUUGAUGCUAUUAACCACAGCCAUAAUCCUGUCAGAAUAUUGCUUGACAGUUUCUUCUUCCUUCAUCUUCAAAUUCUCGAAAUCUCUCCUCAAAUUCAGUAACUGUUGCUGCCUUGUCCUCUCUGUCCCUUGAAACUCUUCUUGCAACUUAUCCCAGGCCUGUUUUGGUGAUUCACAGGCCAUAAUCCUUGUGAAAAUCACAUUUGACACUGAGUUCUGAAUGCAAGACAUGGCCUUGUGCCUCUUGGUCCUCUCAUCAGCAUGCUGCCUGAUCUGAGCCACUGUUGGAUUGCCUCUAAGUGGCUCUGGUUCAACAUCUGAGUUGACCACCUCCCACAGAUCAUAAGCCUGCAGGUAGGUCUUCAUUUUGACCACCCAUAUGUGAUAGCCUUCUCCAUUGAAGACUUGAGGUGCAGCUGGUGAAAAGCUUGAUGAAGCCAUGGAUUUGUAUAACAGAUCCCUUAAGAAAUAAGCUCUAGAUACCAAUUGUUGGUGCAACAAUAGAAUCAAGCAGACUCAGCAAGUAUCUUGUCGAGCAAGCCUCGAGACUUACUGAGCAAACAAACAAUUUCGAGCUAAAGAAAGAAGAAAAUAAGCUAAGGAAAUUUGAGAGAAUAUUGAUGAACAAGACUGAUUUCAUUCAUAAAAAAACAAUGGCUUGAAGCCAGUACAUAAAUCAAGCAUAAAGCUUGUCAAAAUCAACAAGUAAUUACCUACCUCCACUAAUUACAUAGAAACUUGAAAUUUUAGCUUGUAAACUUAUACAAAACUGUGUUUACAGCUCAUACAUAAGCUAAUUACAUCAAUCAAAAAGCUAACUUAGUUAGAAAUGAACUAACACUCAUUUCAUCAACUAAAUAUAACAAAAUGAACAAAAUGAGCUUGCAUCAACAGCCCUUGCAUCUGUUCCAGCUUUGCUUGGUCUUCAUGGCCUGCUUGGUAUCGAGUGUUGGCUUCAUGCUGACCAACUUCAACAGUUUCCUUGAUAAUAGCUUGUAGGUAUACCAAGUUAGCUAUGUCCGAUUCUUCCACUUGCCAUUGAUUUCCGACAUGGAUAUCGAGUUCUUCUUGAGCCUUCUUCAGCACAUGGCGGUUAUUCAAUAGCAGGGAGAUCGCCCAUGUAAGUGUGACCACGUUUGUGUCGAUGCCACCAAGGACAAGACUCUGCAAUCACCAUUUCAAUCAAAGAUGGUGCUAUAAGUUACAUUACAUGAUUCUACUUAACAGUAAAACAUACCAGGCAAGUAGCUUUAAUGGUAACAUCAACCUCUUGUGUUGGAACAUUAUUCUCAUCCAUGAUAGAUAACAUGACAUCAACAAAAUCUUGGUCCCCUUCGAUGCCUUUAUUGAGCCUCCUUUCACGAUGCUGGUUUACCCAAUUUCCGAGUACAAAAUCCAACUCCUUUGCUGUCCUCUUUAUUUUGCCUAUGGUCCCUAUCACAACAUCAAGACAACUGAGAAAAGGAAUCGCAUCCGAGACCAAGAACAACCCUGUAAGAUAAAAGAAAUCACCCAAGGCCUUUUGCCAUCGCCUUGAUUCCUCGCUACAACUUUCUUUGAUACCGCAAUAUCUUUUCCCAGCAAUCAUCCGAACUAUAAUAUUGGUUGCUAAGUCACCAAUUCUCUCAUUCAUUUCCAAAACAGCACUGCCUCCGUUUUUCACCGAUUGUUCAUACAAUUCCUUUAUAAAACUACUGAUUUCGGUGUCGUGAACAUGCUUGAGUAACUCAAGCCGACGACUAGAGAGGAGCUCAACCGUUGCUAGUUUCCUCAUACUACGCCAAUAUGGUCCGUAAGGAGCAAAGCCUAACAUCUUAUGGUCAUACCCCAUAUACUUUACGGCUAACGAUUUUGGACGUGUAGGGAAGACCUUAUCGUUGGUCGUAAAACAUUCUUUUGCAAUUUCCCAAUUACUUACCACAAGUGCUUGAUGAACCCCGAGACGGAUCACGAAGGCUGGCCCAUGCUCAUCAGCCAUGUCUUCAAAUUUUCUAUGUAGCAACUGGCUUUUUCCAAGAAGAUGAAGGUGACCAAUAAAAGGUAAUGCCCCAACAGGCUCAGGGGGUCUCCUCUGCUGUUGCUUGUUGCCAUUAACAAGGAUGAUGAUCCCUAAUAUGGUGAUAAUUAUUGUGAAAGGAAGUGCCAAAAGGAGUUGUUCCUGAAAUUGUUCGGACAAUUCCAUGGUGUAAUGAACCAAUUUGCAAGAACCACAGUAAUUGCUUCUAAAUAAUGGCAAGCAUCAACUAAAAUAAAAUAUCUAGAAUAAAAUCAAAAUUGGAAGGAUCUGUUCAGGCCUUAUUGGACCAAGUAAUCUUUAAAAAACAAGUGGUCCGAUUGCUACAAUAGCCUUAUCCAAUCAUAGUGGUCUUCCCUAACCAAAAAAAUCCAAAAGUGGAGCUGUAUACAACAAUCUAAGAAAAUAAGUGGUCCUAUACCUAACUGAGUACUGCUUUAGAUGUCGUGCAUGUCGAAAACAUGGGGGUUUUGUUUUUGGGUUAUAUUUUUUUAAAUAUUAUAAGAGUUAAUUAAAAUCAUAGAUUAAAGUAGGGUAAUAAUAAAUAAAAAUAUAUAAAAAUCAAAUUUUAACAAUUUUAACAUUAGAACAAACUAAUUUAUCAAUAUAUAUAAUAUAACCUAAAUUAUUAAUAAUUUUAUUUAAAUUAUGAUAUAUUAAUAUUAUUAUUCAAUCUAUGAUGAAUUUUUGUAUUAUUUUAAUAUUAAAUGUUUUUAAAAUUAAGGACCUGAUUUUAAAUUAGUUAAAUAUUUUUAUAAAAAUUUUUAUAAUUACAUUACUUUUUCAAUUUAUUCAUGAUUUUUUUGAAAUAUUUAUUAAAUUUAAAAAAGAAAACUAAUGUUAUAAAAAUAUUAUGAAUUGAAUAUACACAAUUGAUACAAGUAUCUUAUGAGAAUACAAAUUAGUUUAAACAAUUUUUUUAUUUUUUAUUUUGCUGAGUUACAAGAAUAGGAUAAAGUCCUAAUAACAACGAGAUUAACAUGACUCAAACCCAGACCAUACCUAGGGCGAUGAACACUUUAACUAUCAGGCAAACACACAAGUUAAACUAAUUUUUUAUUUUAAUUACAUACAUAAGUAGUGUUAUUAAUUAUAAGUUAUUUUAAAUACACACUUACCUUCUAAAUUCGUAAUUUUAUUCGUGGGACCACAUUAUUGGACGCAAGCUUACUAAUAACAUUCAGAAGGUAACUUUGGUGUAAGAGUAACCUCUAAUGGUGUAGUUUUAGGAACAAUUAUUCCGGGCCUUUCACUCAUGUCGACGCUUUUAUCCGAGACCGUUCCCCAUUCGAAUCCAUGAAGCAGUCGAGCCAAAGCUAAGUGUUGGAAAUAAAGGGCGAAAGUGAUACCAGGACAAAUCCUUCUACCAGCACCAAAUGGUAUAAGCUCAAAUUUUUGACCCCUCACAUCAAUGUUAGCAUGGUCACUGAGGAAUCUCUCAGAGAGGAAAUCUAAUGGCUUAUGCCAAAUUCCGGGGUCACGGUGUAGAUUCCACAGGUUAAGCAACAGUUGAGUGCCUGCCGGAAUGUGGAAACCGGCUACGGUGCAGUCAUCCAUAGCUUCUCUUGCUACCGAUACUGGCGUCGCUGGGUAUAACCGCAAUGUUUCCUUGAUAAUGGCUUGUAGGUAUACCAAGUUAGCUAUGU
rnacentral:lncRNA from 1 species